rnacentral:rRNA from 1 species
UACAGAGGUGGCAAGCGUUGUUCGGAAUUACUGGGCGUAAAGGGUGCGUAGGCGGCGGCACAAGUCAGGUGUGAAAUCCCCCGGCUCAACCGGGGAACAGCGCUUGAAACUAGGUCGCUCGAGUGAGGCAGGGGUAUGUGGAACUUCCGGUGGAGCGGUGAAAUGUGUAGAUAUCGGAAGGAGCGCCGGCGGCGAAAGCGGCAUACUGGGCCUUGUCUGACGCUGAGGCACGAAAGCUAGGGGAGUGAACGGG